rnacentral:rRNA from 1 species
GACGAACGCUGGCGGCGCGCUUAACACAUGCAAGUCGAACGGAAAGGCCUGCUUUCCCUUGUGGAUUGCGGGUACUCGAGUGGCGAACGGGUGAGUAACACGUGAGUGAUCUGCCCCCAACUUGGGUAUAAGCCUGGGAAACUGGGUCUAAUUCCCGAUAGGACUGCAGGGUGGUGCCUGUGGUGGAAAACGAUUUUCUAGUGGUUGGGGAUGAGCUCGCGGCCUAUCAGCUUGUUGGUGGGGUAAUGGCCUACCAAGGCGGCGACGGGUAGCCGGCCUGAGAGGGUGGACGGCGACAGUGGGACUGAGAUACGGCACAGACACCUACGGGCGGCAGCAGUGGGGAAGAUUGGAAGAUGGGCGGAAGCCUGAUGCAGCGACGCCGCGUGGGGGAUGACGGGCUUCGGGUUGUAAACUCCUUUCGACCGCGAGGAAGCCACCUGGUUGGAAGGGUGGUGACGGUAGUGGUAGAAGAAGCACCGGCUAACUACGUG